AUUGAACGCUGGCGGCAUGCCUUACACAUGCAAGUCGAACGGCAGCACGGGAGCAAUCCUGGUGGCGAGUGGCGAACGGGUGAGUAAAGUAUCGGAACGUGCCCAGUCGUGGGGGAUAACGUAGCGAAAGUUACGCUAAUACCGCAUACGAUCUAUGGAUGAAAGCGGGGGAUCGCAAGACCUCGCGCGAUUGGAGCGGCCGAUAUCAGAUUAGGUAGUUGGUGGGGUAAAGGCUCACCCAGCCGACGAUCUGUAGCUGGUCUGAGAGGACGACCAGCCACACUGGGACUGAGACACGGCCCAGACUCCUACGGGAGGCAGCAGUGGGGAAUUUUGGACAAUGGGCGAAAGCCUGAUCCAGCCAUGCCGCGUGCAGGAUGAAGGCCUUCGGGUUGUAAACUGCUUUUGUACGGAACGAAAAGGUCUCUCUUAAUACGGGGGACUCAUGACGGUACCGUAAGAAUAAGCACCGGCUAACUACGUGCCAGCCGCCGCAGUAA
rnacentral:rRNA from 1 species